rnacentral:SRP_RNA from 1 species
GCUGGGCGUGGUGGCUCACACCUGUAAUCCCAGCACUUUGGGAGGCUGAGGCAGGUGGAUCACCUGAGGUCAGGAGUUUGAGACCAGCCUGACCAACAUGGUGAAACCCUGUCUCUG